CAAACGAUCAAAUCCGGGGGAGGGGCAACAACAACAACAACAAAACAAAAUAUCAGACUAAAGCGAAAACGCUGCAAAUGUCAAACAGCAAGUGCCGGAGACUGGCAGCAUCUGCGGGGACAUCGGACAUUAACAUGUACCGUCUGUGCCCCACUCCGAGUUGUCAAGGUAACAGUCCGAAAGAGUAACUUCUGUGAAGACAUGAAUUUGUUCUUCAGUUGGGUCAGCAGUGCAACCCGAAACAUCCACACUGAGCAAGUGACUAAUUCUGAGGAAGAAAACAUCAGGGACGCAGGACUGGAGAUGGGUGUCACUGUCAGGACCAGCGUCUAUUGGUAGUUACUCUUGAGAAGUCGGUGGGAGGAUGUUCCCAAUGACCAGGGAAUCCAGAACUAGGAGUCGCAACCUAAACACACUGGGCAUGUCAGUUAGAAUUGAGAUGAGGAGAAAUUUGUUCAGAUGGUGAGUCUGUGGAAUUCUCUGCCACAGAAAGCAGGCAAAAAGACAGAAAAACCAUCCUUGUGGAUUUGCUGUUAAAUCUACCUCCAUUAUUAUGAAUGAUGUGGUUGUGCCAGUAUUGGACUGGGGUGGACAAGAUCAGAAAUCUCAUGACAACAGUUUGACAGAAGACUUCCUGAAAAAAAGUGGAUUUUCCUCAAAAUUGGGCCAAUAUCUACUGUGUAUGUGCCUCCUGUGUCCAACAUGUUCUUCAAAUGAACCUAAAGGUCUCCCAUAAAAUACUAACUAGACCAUAAUACUGUCAGCUACCCAAAAUAAUUAUCUCAUAACUUGUACAAAACUUUGGAAAUGGAUACUGCAAUCAAACUAUAUUCUCUUUUCAGUAGAAAAGCUUCUGAAAAAUUAAGUGAAAUCAUUGGUGCAAUAUUAAUUGAUAUGGAGCUGCUGUAUCAUAAACCAAUACAAGGAGAUUUGUAUUUUUUGGAGUUGUAUUAAAUUGAUGUUAUGACAAAUAAUUCAGCGAUAAAAGUAUAAUUUUUAUGAAUUUUACACAUAAUGCAGCUGAAUGAUAGAGCUAUGUGUACCAAAAAUUGCACACAAAUUUAAUCAAGUUAACUGAAGUUUUGCUUUGCUAAAAAGUCAAUUUGAUGUCUAUUUUGACAUCAAUUUUAUUAGACAUCUCUUUAAAAUGUAUUAUGUUGUAAACCACUUAUGACGGUAUUGUGCAAGAUAAUUCAUGUUGCCUAAUUCUUCCUGCAUCUAUUGUAUAAGACGUUUUAAAUUGAAAAUACGACUUGUGCUAUAAGCUGCAACGUAAGAAACUGUUAGCGAUCAAACUAUCGCAAAGUCUACCCGAAUAGUGAGCUUUCAUCUGUUGAUGAACAUUAAUCUUUUGACAGAGAUUUGAAAAAGUUGCCAGUGUACACGGAAAUAACACGGUAACACUCAGAUCAUACAUCGUCUUAAGUAAACAACUAAUAAUACAAAUGUUACGUAUUAAAUUCCAAAUACAGAAGCAAAAAUGCAACUUUGCAUUAACUAACACUAUCUGUGCAGUUAAAACGUUAGGUAUGCGAUUUGUUCUUAUUCCUUUUUGACUGAAUGGAGAUUUUCGAUAUGGCAACGUUCAACCAUUGUUUAUUUAUGAAUAUUCACUUGAAAGCAUGGAUGUAAUGUACAGUGGAAAACUUUAGCCUGGGUGUGAGAGCAUAUGAUACCCACGAUAUAUAAAGGCAAAGGCUGUGUAAUCGUAAGUUGCACUUUAUGAGCUUACAAAUGUAUUUAUGACUCGGAGCGGGGAAUAUCUCACUCAUACAAUACUGUGUCUAUAUUUGUUGGCAUAGUUAAAGCAGAGCGGAACUAUCUUUCACAUUUCCAGUUCAAACAUCGAUGAAUUCCAAAUACUGAGGGCGUAAGAACAAUUAUUUUGUUCCAUGUUGUGAUUGAAAAAACAAUUCCGUUACCCAAAAAGAAAGAAACCAUUUUCCUUGGCUGUCUUCAAAUAAAACCUGGAAGUAAUAACAUGUAACUUUCAGUUGAAGCACUCGCAUUUGCAAAGGACUGCGUGAACAAAUUAGUUGGAAACUAAUUUCACCCCAAAACUACAUCUGGUUCCCAGAAAUGGCCGACACGUGCUUUAUUUAUUCCACUGCUUACAUAAAUUCAUGUGGUACACUGCUUUGGAAUGUUAGAGCGAUUGUGCUUAUUUUAACUUAUAUCAUAUAUCUGAACCUCAAAUUAGCAGAAGUUCUCUAAGUUAUGGAGUAAGAGUUAAACGUGCUAAUAAAACACAUGACAUCCAGGAAAAACUAUAUUAGUAAACCUUUGCUAAGAAGAAAAAUUGCAGCUACUAAUAUACUGAAAAAUUAUUUUGGAAAGGUAUAUAUUUCACAAAGAAUACUCGGCAACCCGUGUUGUGUUCAAAAAUCCCAAGAGUGUAAUUAGUGUUCGUCUGUUUAGGCAAGAGGCACAUUAUGUUGUUAAGGUUGCUACUAGGAAUCUCAGAUUUUUUGAUUUUUUUUAAAUUUUGGGAGAUGCUAAUGUAUUAAUUGGCAAUUUACAUGCGUUUGCAGAUGCUACCUUAGCUCAAACCUGACUCUGGAAUGCUUGAUUGAGAUAUCACAGUGCAUUUGGCAGUUUUCCCAUUUUAAAGAAAGCUUCAGCAACUCGAGAACAUCUGACAGACCCGACAGCGUGAAUUACAAUUACAGUACUUUUCACACUAAAUGUGGGUGAUAGCUACUUGGAAAGAAGUUUUGUCGUUUCGUUCCAAAAAACUGGAAAAAGAAUUACAUGGUCAUGCUGUGCUUUUAAAGGCAGUUUGGCUCACUUAGGUCUAUUUAACACCUAAUUCAAAAUAGUCCAUAGGCGUCUGAAUAUGCUAAUGUUAUAUAAUUAGUUUACUGCAAGCUAGAAAAUUUGAGAAGCCUAAAUCAAAUUACAUUUAAUAACAGGGCGACAACGAAGUGCGAUUUUUGUCAGACGAUUCUUUAUUCAAUAAUCUUUAGGUAAUUUCAGUUUUUAUAUUUGAGUUUGUGGGAGUAUUCAACGUCAGAUGGACGUCUUAACUGUGAAAGCUUUCCAGACUGUGACCAUGAACCGGAAAUGUCAGGAUAAAGAACUUGAAGUAACCAUGGCGAAAGAAAGUGCAAUGAUACUGUGACCUACUACGGGUAUAUUUUCCUGCUAGUUUAAUAAUUUCGUUCUUACAAGCAAUCGAAUAGAUACACAUGGACAGAUAUGUUCUACAUUUCAAUGGUACACAAGUAUAAUGCAUCAUUCGGUUUGUGUGCUGCUAGCGUUAAGAACUACUUUCAAGAGAAACAUAGGAGGUCGUCAAGCAUUUGUCGACUCUUUCAAUAAAAUGUUUACCCUUAAAUUAAUUUAACCAUGAUCUGCCAUGAUACAUUACCACAAAUUUGAUUUCUUACCUGUAUUCAUACAUUGCUACGCGAACAAUGCUUUACACUUGAUUAUGUUAACGUUUUUAUUGAAAGCAAGAGUUCCUUAUGGAUUAUAUUUCAUAAUUUGGAAUCUUAAGUGAUAAGCCCCUGAUACUGAACAGUGGCGCAUUUUGUCGCGGUAACGAUGUAGAAACAUUUACAUCAAAGUUCGGGAAUGCAAAAAAAAUCGUUGAACUGUUAUUUAAAAACGUGAUCAUGAAUAUAUGAUGCAGACAAUUAUGAUUGCACCUGGCAAUCCUUUUGUUAACAUUAUAUGAAUGUUGAAAGGUUAAUUUUGCUCCGUAUUAACUGUGUGCCAUGCUAUAUACGAUGUGUAUAAUAAACAUCAGAUGCCGAUUUCCACCAACAGUUACCUUUGCAUCAUACGGUUUUAAAGGUAAACUGAACUCAUUAAAGUUAUACCUACCAGUUUCCA